GCAUGCAAGUCGACGCUUCUUUUUCCACCGGAGCUUGCUCCACCGGAAAAAGAAGAGUGGCGAACGGGUGAGUAACACGUGGGUAACCUGCCCAUCAGAAGGGGAUAACACUUGGAAACAGGUGCUAAUACCGUAUAACAAUCAAAACCGCAUGGUUUUGAUUUGAAAGGCGCUUUCGGGUGUCGCUGAUGGAUGGACCCGCGGUGCAUUAGCUAGUUGGUGAGGUAACGGCUCACCAAGGCCACGAUGCAUAGCCGACCUGAGAGGGUGAUCGGCCACAUUGGGACUGAGACACGGCCCAAACUCCUACGGGAGGCAGCAGUAGGGAAUCUUCGGCAAUGGACGAAAGUCUGACCGAGCAACGCCGCGUGAGUGAAGAAGGUUUUCGGAUCGUAAAACUCUGUUGUUAGAGAAGAACAAGGAUGAGAGUAACUGUCAUCCCUG
rnacentral:rRNA from 1 species